GCCUAGUUAGCUUAGUUGGUAGCGCGUCUGCCUUGUAAGCGCUAGAUCGCGGGUUCGAUUCCCGCUUAGGGCG
rnacentral:tRNA from 1 species